UUUAAUAUUUCUGUAUUGUGGGUUUGUAAAGAAUUAACUCAUUUUUACAGUUUAUAUUUUAAUUGUGUUUAGGAACAUAUGAACUUUAUCACACUGUUUUUCACUAGAGACAGAACUUAAUUUGCCCUGAGCUGUGCUUUGUACGUAGUAAAUUUUUGUUAGGAAUCUGGUAAUACAUGAUCUGUGUAUUGUUUUCAAUGUAAUUAUUAAGAAUAAACUUACGACUAGUUCUUCUUGAUCUUUAACUCUUGAUUGGAGAGUUUAUUGGAGAUUUGAUUUGUGAGCAUCUUGACUAUUUAAAACAAUCUUUUCUAAAGGGAUUUUCUUUGAUCACCUUUAUAUAAUUAUAUUUAUGUGAAGUGUUUUGGCAUGUAUGCAUUUAAAAGGCAAAUUACAUAUUUAGUGGAAGUGCUGAAUUAAUUUAUGCUAUUACUGACAUUUUAUCUUUACAUAGUUUGCACAGUUAUGCUACUUGACAGAUCUGCUCUAGUGAAUGAAUAUAAUAUUUUCUCACAGGUUGAGGUGUCUGUUGGACACAUACAUAGAGAUACCUAUUUAAUAGCUGGAAACAUGAAUCUGCACCCACAGAAAAGGAUGCUUAUUUGAUCUUUCAAAGUAAGUGUGACUACUUCUAAAGCAUUUACAAAUUAUGGUCAUUUGUAUGAGGUGUCGAUCUCUUACUGUUCACAAAAGGAUGAUCUAGUGGUCAGAAACUACUUAAAGAGGGAGUUUGUCUAAACAAAUUUGAGAUAACCACUAAUGGUAAAAGUAUAUAAGAUAAUACCACUUGGACCAUGAGACUGGCUCCUAAAUCUGAUGUAAUACCUUAAAAAAUUCUUUUUUAACCUUAGUUAAUAGUGAUAGCACUUUUAUCCCUUUGUUUAAUUACGAAACACUGUGACUUGGAGGUCCUAUUAGGGAGACUAGAAAGGAAACCGUCACCUUUAUUUUGUGAACCAUUCUAAAACUUAGCUUUCUUUUAAAAAGCCUAACAUUUCUAACUAUAUUUAAGUCAAUAAAACUGAGUAAAACUCACAUAAUAUGGGACCUCACAGCAUUCUUAACAAUUUUUUUUCAUUUUUCAACAGCUUUACAAUUACAAAAGUUAUGCAAAAGCUGCUGUGAAAGUAUAAUUUCUCAUGAGGGAUGUGGUUAAUUAUAGACUGCAUGUACUAGUGCAUGACAAACAUUAAAGCUUUACAUUAUUAGGAUAUUUCAUCUCAUCUAAAACUUUAAUUACUUCAGCUCCAUGAGAUCUUUUGUGCACCAAUGCUAAUCAGCAGUUCUCCUUUGAGUUUUUGAAAGUUUUAUUGCUGUCCAUGCUAUGUCUCUGAAACUGGAAGAUUUUCUUUUUGGAAGUAGAUAUUAAUUUAAUUGUCUUUAAAUGGUGUCUUUAAAGAAAGGAAAAAUAUUAAAAUACAAAUAAACAUGUUAAAGAUAAAAUACAUAGAAACAUAAAAAAAUUUCUGGGGUUAUAAUAGUACCAUUUGUUAGUUAUGAGGAUGGGGACAGAUACAGGUUGUUUACUGAGUGUUUUGUAACUAUAAGCCUGGGUAAGAUUCUGGGGUAUUUUACUGUUGUCUGCUUACUAGAUCCCAAAUUGACCACUUAAACUUGAGUUGUUAAUACAUGCCUUACCUUGAUUCCCUAAAAAUAUUACUAUUCUAUUUCUGUUCGUUUGUAUUCUUUUGUUUUUUUGGUUGUAUACAUCAGUAUAACUAAAUUGAAUAUCUCAAAUGAUACCUGGAGACUGGAAAAUGAAGAUAAGUAUUUCCUAAUCUCCAAAUUCAUUGGUUUAUUUGUUGUUGUUUCUCAUUUGCUCAUCUAUUUAAACUUGGCACAUGCAAGCUGUCUUAGCACUUAACACAGUAGUUGUCCAUUUCCGCCCCCUACCAUGGGCACUAUGUUUUAAAAUGUUUUAAAAUAUUGUCAAAAUAUUUAUUAAUAAUAACAGCUAAAAAUUAAAUAGCACUCACUGUGUACCCUGCACUCUUCUUAGUUCUUCAUAUACACUAGAUUAUUUAUAUGCACUAGCUUAUUUAAUUCUUAAAGUAAUUCUGUGAGGUGAAUUUUAGUGCUGUCUUCAUUUUAAAUGUGAGGAAGCUGAGAUGCAAAUAUACGUAAAAAUAAAAGCUAAAUUCCCUUAUUGAUUGCUUACUCUUUGUUAGGCACUGUGCUACGUGCUUUAUAUGUAUUAUUCCCCAAACUUAAUAACUGUGAGAUGAGUAUGAUUUUCUUUUUUUACAUAUCUAGUAUGGGUUUAGUAGAUUAGCUAAAACUUCAAGGUCACAGUAACUGCCAGUUAAAUAGCAAGUGCCUACUGGUACCAGAAAGGAUAUACAUUGGAGACCACCUUUAUUUGGAAUUAGUUUACCUUAAAAGUCUACCAAAUUGUUUAUAUAGUAGUCCUCUCUUAUCCAUGGCUUCACAUUCCACAGUUUUUAAGUUACUCAAAGUCAACCAUGGUCCAAAAUAUUAAAUGGAAAAUUUCACAUACUUUGAGAGAGAAAGGGGAGGGGUGCAGAGACUACCUUCACAUACCUUUUAUCACAAUUUAUUGUUUUAAUUGUUCUAUGAGUUAUUGCUGUUAAUCACUGUGCCUAACUUACAGUUGAACUUUAUCAUAGGUACACACAUAUGUAUGUAUAGGAAAAAAUGUAGUAUAUCUAGGGUUCAGUACAAUCUGCAGUUUCAGACAUCCACUGGGGUCUCAGAACACAUUCCUCUUGGAUAAGGGGGAACUGCUAUAAUGAUAGUUUGCAGAGACAGAGAUUCUCUCUAAAUCCAGGUUGGCAGUUCUUUAACCUCUAGUGUUGGACUAGAAUUCCUACACCUCAUUCAAAGGAAUCAGUAACUAUAGGCCCAUGAACCAGCUCCUGAUUUUAUAAUUAAAUUUAUUAGAUUAUAACCAUGCCCAUCCAUUUAUGAAUUUUCAGUGGCUGCUUUGGAGCUGCAAAGGCUCCAAAGUUGACUGGUUGCAACAUAGACUAAUUAUCCUACAAAGCCUAAAAUAUUUACUAUCUGGCCCCUUGAGAAAAAGUUUGCUGAUCCUGGAGUAAAAUAUUGUUUCUUUAGGUGACUUAACAAUGAAGAAUUGGUGUGCAUUUGUGACCUUAUGCAAAAACAUA